AAAGUCGUAACAAGGUUUCCGUAGGUGAACCUGCGGAAGGAUCAUUAUUGAAUAAAACUUGGUUGGGCUGUUGCUGAUCCCCUGGGAUAUGUGCACGCCUACCAACCAACUUUUUACCACCUGUGCACCUUUUGUAGAUGCUGGAUAUCUCUCGAGUUUACCCAACUCGGUUUUGAGGACUGCCUCUCUGGCUUUCCUCACAUUUCCGCUCUACGUUUUUUUAAUACACACACCGCAUGUCAUUGAAUGUUAUUGAUAGGCCUUUGUUGCCUUUAAAAAAUCUAUACAACUUUCAACAACGGAUCUCUUGGCUCUC
rnacentral:misc_RNA from 1 species